UGAGUACGAGCUGCUACGGCAGCGAAGUGGGUGAUGUCAAGCUUCCAAGAAAAGCCCUAUACCCGUUAAGGCAUGAUGGCCUGUACCCGAAACCGACACAGGUGGGGUGGUAGAGAAUACCGAGGGGCGCGAGAUAACUCUCUCUAAGGAACUCGGCAAAAUGGCCCCGUAACUUCGGGAUAAGGGGUGCCACCGCAAGGUGGUCGCAGUGAAGAGGCCCAGGCGACUGUUUACCAAAAACACAGGUCUCCGCUAAGUCGCAAGACGAUGUAUGGGGGCUGACGCCUGCCCAGUGCCGGAAGGUUAAGGAAGCUGGUCAGCGUAAGCGAAGCUAGCGACUGAAGCCCCGGUGAACGGCGGCCGUAACUAUAACGGUCCUAAGGUAGCGAAAUUCCUUGUCGGGUAAGUUCCGACCCGCACGAAAGGCGUAACGAUCUGGGCGCUGUCUCGGAGAGAGGCUCGGCGAAAUAGAAUUGUCUGUGAAGAUGCGGACUACGUGCACCCGGACAGAAAGACCCUAUGAAGCUUUACUGUAGCUUGGUAUUGUGCCCGGGCUCUGAAUGCGCAGGAUAGGUGGGAGGCUUUGAUCCAUUGCUUGUGGGUGAUGGUGAGCCAACGGUGAGAUACCACUCUUUCAGAGCUAGGGUUCUAACGGUCACCCGUCAUCCGGGGACCGGACAGUAUCAGGUGGGCAGUUUGACUGGGGCGGUCGCCUCCUAAAAGGUAACGGAGGCGCGCAAAGGUUUGCUCAGGCUGGUUGGAAAUCAGCCGACGAGUGUAAAAGCAGAAGCAAGCUUGACUGUGAGACCUACAAGUCGAACAGGGACGAAAGUCGGCUUUAGUGAUCCGACGGUUCUGAGUGGAAGGGCCGUCGCUCAACGGAUAAAAGUUACUCUAAGGAUAACAGGCUGAUCUCCCCCAAGAGUUCACAUCGACGGGGAGGUUUGGCACCUCGAUGUCGGCUCAUCGCAACCUGGGGCUGAAGUCGGUCCCAAGGGUUGGGCUGUUCGCCCAUUAAAGCGGUACGCGAGCUGGGUUCAGAACGUCGUGAGACAGUUCGGUCCAUAUCCGGUGCAUGCGCAGGAAUAUUGAGAGGAUUUCUCCCUAGUACGAGAGGACCGGGAGGAACGCACCUCUGGUGUGCCAGUUAUCGUGCCAACGGUAAACGCUGGGUAGCCAUGUGCGGAGUGGAUAACCGCUGAAAGCAUCUAAGUGGGAAGCCCACCUCAAGAUGAGUAUUCCCAUGGCGUUAGCCAGUAAGGUCACGGGAAGAACACCCGUUGAUAGGCUCUACGUGGAAGCCGGGUAACCGGUGAAGCGGAGGAGUACUAAUAGACCGAGGGCUUU
rnacentral:rRNA from 1 species